GCUCUACAAAGCCCGCCUUCUUCAAUCGCGAAGGCUUUAAAAGGAAGUCAAAGUUUCCACACCGAGAGCUCCGCCUUUUUUCUUCUCGCGAUGCGAUUGGGUAGAAGCUUAAACCGAAGGCGUGAGAUGAUUGGCUGGCGAGGGCCCCGUCUCUUAGGAACGGGAGAAAAAGAGGGCGGGGCCGACGCGAAGGCUUGUUUGUGGUGGCGAAGGAAGAAUUCAACCCGCGCCGACUGCGCAUGCGCCUCCAGGCCUGCGGUGGGGAUUGCGGCCUCCCUCUGCCUUCCAGCGGGCGCCAUUUUAUGCUCGCCUCAGUCACGGGCGGAAAGAGCGCUGCGGCUGCCACCGGCCUGGCCUGAGCUGUAUGACUUCAGAACUCACCCUAAAACGGCAUUUAAGUGACGUGGUCCUUGAGGCAGUGACAAGCAAAAUUGAGCAGUGAUGAAGUACUUCAUGAAGGUUCCUGUGACAUCAAAUUACUUACAAAGAACAAGAAUUUCAGUUGCAAAACUGGGAAAUAGAACUCAAGAAGAAUAAUCUUCACAUACAUAGUUCUGAGGACAGCUGAAUGGAAGCUAUAACAUUCCAUAUGUUGAAGCAGUUGACAAGAUGGUUGUAGAUCAUCAGUAGGGGGUCAGAAAUCAUGUGAGUUAAAUGAUGGGGGACCUUUGAGUUGAAUGUUGAUCCAAAUAUGGCACCAGUUUAAAAUUCUUGGAGUCAUGAUUGGAGGAAUCUGAACUACAGUGUAUGUGUGGACAUAUCAGAUAGCCCAGACUGUCAGUUUUAGAUAACAUGAAGCUGAAAUAAAUUUGGGUACACCUAAGUCACAUAUUGACUUAGUUUACUCCAUGAAUUACAUCAAAUUUUCUUAGGCAAGGAAUACUCAGGUGGUUCUACCACUUCUGAAAUAUAGCCUACAGCGUCUGGUAUGUGUUGGUGGUCUCUUGUCAAAGGACUAAUCAGAGCUGACGCCGCUUAGCUUCCAAGAUCAGACAGGAUCUUGGUAGCAAUGAAAAUCUGGCCACAGUGCUGCAAGUAGAAACAGCACUGUGGGAGUGGAGGUGAGGAAUAACAUCCUUAUAGAAUUUAGUAUCUGAAAAUGAUGAUCUAAAUAUUAUUCAGUGUGACUAAAUAAGCUUGGUUGUGUAAAGAUAUAGCUGUGGUAGUGAUUCAAAGAAGCUUUAAAUUGCUUAUUAAACAAAGGAAGACAUGUUGAAACUUGCACUUUCCUAUAGCAGCUCAUUUUCAAGGAUAAACCAUUUAGAUGGUAGUAUCCCUUAUGCUGAAGAAGUUAUGUAUACUGUGAAAAUUAAGUCCUAGCUUUUAAUUUGGAAUCCAGGUAGUUUGUUUUUGUUUUGGUCUUGUUUUGGAUGUACUUUUGUAUUUUAUCCAUUUAUACCAAAUAAAAAGAAAUGCACUUAUAAACAGAUGAUACAAUGUUAAAAAUAGUUUCCUAAUUUUUAAUAGAAUAAAGCUCCUGAACAAUUAAGGUGUGCUUUUGUGAAAUUGUUUUAGCUGGUCUCUGUUCAGUUGUUUAUAAACCUGGCAUCAAAGGGGAUAGAAAAAUUAGUGGAAAUGGUUUUUUGCUUUGCAUAUUGUCCCAGAUUUGAAGUUAAAUGAGCUGUAUGCCCAUGGUUUUUAGAGUACUGAGUUUGUAACCUUAUCACAGAAGUAAUUUUAGGCUUGUUUGUUAUCUUGGACCAUCAGAUGCCCAUAUUUUGUGGCAAAUCUUAGGGGUUUUAUAGACUUGGCAGAUCUGGGUUCUAGUGCAUACUGAUUACACGUUUUGUCAGUCACUCUCUCCUCCAAUCUCUAUCCUCAUAGGGUUAUUCUGAGUAUGUAGCAGGGCCCACAGUAUCAAGUUCCUUUUUCUUUUCAACAGGGUCUUACCAUUUUCAGGAAAAGCUUGCCUUUUCUCUGAAGAAGAUUGUUAGUUAUUCUAGGGCUGGUUCUUCACAUCAAAUACAAAAUGCUGGUUCUUACAUUUGUGUUAUCUUCAUGCCCUGUUGUAUCAAAACUAUAUUUCAUUACAAAAAAAAUGUUUUGUCUUGCGUAGCUAAAAUAACACUACUUUCAGCUAAUAUAGGGGAAACCCAGGGUUUGCAGAAGUAGGAAAAUAGCUUAGUGGAAAAUCCUAGGACAUGGGGACCAGGUUCAAAACAGACUGAAGAUGCUCUUUUGACAGAGUGACAGUAGGCAUGUGGGGAGAAGUGAAAAAUAGUUCCUGUAAAGCAGUGGUUAUCAACCUGGGGUCCCCAGAUGUUUUUGGCCUUCAACUCCCAGAAUUCCUAACAGCUGAUAAACUGGCUGGGAUUUUUGGGAGUUGUAGGCCAAAAAACAUCUGAGGACCCCAGGUUGAAAACCACUGCUGUAAACAAAACACGAACCCUCCACACUGUAGCCGUUGUUGCUAGCCUCAACUCAUUCAAGAUAAGAGGAAAUGGCUACAAGUGCCACACUAAUCUGUGUGACACCUUUUCCAUGCAACAGAAUGGAACAGGCACUCCAUACCUCUGAGCUACUGAGGGAAAAGAUCUCGGUCUAAAGAAAAUCCAGUUAUAAAGAAAUAUUCAUGGCAGUCAAAGGUCUGAAUCUUCUGUGGCAUUGCUUUGUGAGGUUGGGAAGGUUUUCCUCAUAAAAUUGACCUAGAACAUCUGAAUUUUGUGGAAAAUUGUAUAAAAUAUGUCUUAAUACAAUCCUGGACACACAAUUUAAAAGAUUAAGCAGGACUGAGCCUGGUUUAUACUUCAAUAGAAAAUCUCCAGGGUUAGGAAAGACUCCUAUAAGAAACAUUGGAAAGUCAGAUAGAUCUGAUAGUACUAUGCUACAGUGACUAACAGCCUGGUUCAGUGUAAGGCAGGCUCCUCUGCCUUUCAACUGGGUAUCUUUCAGUGUAGGGGACAUAGCUGAGCUUUCUCCCUCUGUAGUGGAAAAGAGUCAGUUGUAAAUCAAUGCUUUUUGUCUAGUUUCAACUGUCGGAUAAAACUUAAGUAGCCAUGGAAUACAGUACUUUAUGAUGUUUAUCAAAAUACAACAAGAAUAACUAUGCUGCAACUCUUCUGCUUCGUAGUUGAAACUGGCCUAUGCUUGAUAAUUCUCAUUUAGCUUGUUUGUCAUUGUACAGCUAUCACAAGUUGCUAGAAUAUGACUUUUUAUAAGGAACAUGGUUAUUGUUGGAAUGGGCCUUUUGGAAUCUAUAUUAGGAGAAAAUGUCAGUGGUAUGUCUGCUGAAAUGUAACAAGAAACUGCACAUCUUGCAUAGCAAAUUUAUUUCAUCUGAGACAAAGUGAAAUGACCUGGUUUCUUCAUUCAAACAAUAUUUCCUCGUAUGGAAGAAAUGCCAUACUGGGAAAGUUAAAAAAUCUGUCAUCCCAAUCUUCUCAUAAUUAUGAAAACACUCCCUCCCCAUCCCACUGGAAUAGUGAACAUUAAAUUUGGUUUAUAUGCUCCUGCAGUGUUAUGGUUCCUGAAUCACAUGGUGGGAAUGAUGUAAAAUGAUUGCCACAUGGAUCUUCCUGGAUGCAUGCAUUUUUCAUUCUUCUUACUCCCCAGUGUACAUUUGUGCAUAUAGUGAUAUGGGCCCAAGCAACAGGGAAGUGGAAGCUACAAUGCUUUUGAAAUUCAUUGGCUGCUAAGCUGCUUCUCAAGACAAGCCUAUCAUUUAGUACUCUACAAAACCAUUUUUAGCAACUACAGGUGCAUAACUUAUUUUCUCUAACAGCAUAAGUAAGCUUAUGCAAAAAAUACUUUUGCUUAUAAGAGCCUACUUACAUGUUUGUUCCUUAACUUCUAAACGUGGUUUUAUUCACCUCUACAGAUAAGUGAUGUUCUAGAAUGACUAUUUGUCUUGCUAAGUUAUGGCAAGUAGAGACAGGCAUUCCUUUUUUACAAUCUACAAAGUUCAAAUAAUGGCACACAUUUUAUAGGAGUGAUUCUUUACUUUUGGUUUUCAGUCUAGGCGCUUACAGGACCCACUGAGUAACUCACUUUACUGAAUUGUGGAGACUACUCAGCUUUUAUAAUGUAUUAAACAGGAUGUAGGGUUUUUGCAUUGCUAGUUUAACAUAAUAUCCUGGAAUUAUGUGUCCGCAAUUAUAACAACAUGUAGUUUCUUGGUUUCUUAAUCACAUCAGUGCAUGUGUGUAGCUUGUCAUUUUGCCCUCAACAGAAUGUAGAUAUUAAUAUAGCAUGAGCCCCAGGGAAGAGGAAAGCAAUCCUUCCAAAACCUGGAGCAGUGAUUUUGUGUAAUAGGGUCCUAACCAAGAUGAUACAGUUCUUAAAUCACUUGUGAGAUUGAAUACAUAUGUGUGUACUGCUAUCAUACCAGCCUUUUUGCCUUUGUUUUCCUCUUUGAUCAAAUAAUACUCAAAUCAAAAACUUAAUUGGAAAAACGUUUAGUGCAAGUUGGUCGCUCAAAAUAUUCUUCCAGGACAUACAUAAUGGCAAAUACAUUACAUCUCGUGUUAAAAGUAAGAACAAGUUACAUGUUUUCAUCAUCAGAUUCAUCCUCUUCUUUCAGAGAUUCCUGUCCAAAAAAAAGAGAAUAUCAGGUUUUACAGCUUGCUAAGUAUGAACAACAUAUAGCAAAUUAAAAAACAGCUCUCCACAAUCUGAGUGAAAGUUUGUUGGUUUAUAGAAGCUAAAACUACAACUGGUAUACAAAUUUCUCAUUGUCCCAAGCUAUCUUUUCCAUAGCAGGUGCUUUAAAAAAAGCUAGCAUAUCAAGCAAGCCAAACUAAAUCUUGUAAGAUCGUUACUGAAUCUGUCAUAGACCAGCAUGGCUGCCUUUGUUUUCUAAAUUAUGCCAGACACUUUGACAUGAGGAAACUACUUGGAGCCACUCCAAUUGUGAGUAGUCACUACCAUCUACUUUGGAGUUCCACUAUUUACCUUAGCAUAUUUUUCAGCUUCUUCCUUAAUGUCUUUUGGGACAACUUCAUGUUUUCCUUUAGUUACUGUGAAUUAAAAAAAAACAUUUUGAGGAUAUCAUCAGAUACAACACUACAUCUGCUUGCAUAUCUGGCUGACAAGAAUUGUUUUCAUUUUGCAUUGAACUUUGAUUUCAUAUUACUUGACUAAUUAUUCUACACUGAAAUUAUUUAGUAUAGUACAACCUCUGGGGAUAUAUUUCAAGACACAUAAUGCCCUGAACACAAGAAACUACAGAUAAUAGCAAACCUUAUAUUUUGAUUAUACCUGAGCCAGAAACAUACCAUUGAAUUUGGAAGUCCUAGAGAGGUACAUAAAGAUUUCUGGGGUCAAACAUUUUUGGAGCAUGGUGAGACUGUAAUGCAGACUGUAAUGCCACCUGAGGCUAAGAGAGCAUGACCAAGACAGGCAGUCAGUCUCCACAGCUAAACAGGAAGUUAAGUCCUGAUCUCCUUGAGUUCCAAUCCCAUACUCAAAGCACUACACCCUCACUGGCUUUUGUAAUUUAGAAAUAUUUAAAUACGUAACUGCUGACAUUACUUUAUAAUGUGAGCAUUUUCUUAAAAGAACAAAUCUCAAAAAAGAAAGUCUAUGUGAUACAUUACUUUCUCCAACCCAACUGAGUUCCAGUUCAAAAGCUUUGUCUUUUACUUCAUCGUGGACUAUGUAGAUUCUAGAAACAAAAUAGAAACAAUCGUUAUUUUCAGUUAUCCAGCAAUAGGAAAAGAGAGAUCCUGAAUUUUUGGAAGGAAGGGAGCACUUGUAAAGUAACUUCGCCAUGUUUAUAAAACAGGCAGUUCUCAGCAGUAUUAAACAUAAUUAGUCCUCAUAAUAAACCAGUUCUCACAUGCACAUCCCAUAAUUGAAGUUAUAGUUAUGGAACAAAUAAUCUGAAAUCGUUCUUAUAUAAAAUAUGAAUAUGACUCUGGAUCUAAAAGGGAAAGUCCAAUUUACCUUGAAGAAUAACCACCCAAGCAAGAGUUAAAAGGGUCUAAUUCACAGCCAACUCACACAACUUGUCCUACAAUAUCAAGUGUUUCUUCAAUCAAAAGCUAAAAUGCAACAAUUUAAGCAUGAAUGAUACUCUAUAAAAACUUACAUUUUUGCAACUUCUUUAACAACAUCACGACAAGUCAUGUCUUUCAUCUAUGGAUAUAUUGAUAAAAUUAGUAUUUAAUCAUAUGGAGCAAAAGAUGUAAACAAUUAUAUUGUAAUAUAAUUAGCAGAUGCAGCUGCCAAAACAGGAUAUUUGCUCAUGAAAACAGCUGUAUUUAUGUCCUGCUUAUAUUCAGUACUGCCUGCAUCUGACAAUGACUAUCAGUAAGAGCUUAGAUAACCUCUACUCAGAGGAAGUUCAAUUUGACACAAACUGUAAACUAAUUCCCAUUUAACCAUUUCUAGUUUUUGUUCACAUAACAGCCAAAUUCUAAAUUAUAGUUAAUCUGAAGUGCAAUUAGUGGAAAUAUGCCAGUUUCAUGAACUACUAAGAGGAGACACAAGGAGUGUAAAAUCCAGAUUUCUGAAACUCAUCUUUAUGAAAUAAAAUCUUAAUUUUAGUGCUAUGAAUUGGCAUAGGCAUAGUUAGGAUGUUCCCCAUCUCCUAAAGACAAAGGCAAAUUUGGUUGAUACUUUCCACCUUUUUAGGCCACCAACAGGGCAGAAUGUGUCAGCCAGUUUCACAGGAAAAUCUCUUUAUAAGUGCAAUUUUGUUCUGGAUGACACUAAGGGAAAGCCUAGGGUAUUUUAACAUUUCAACCAAAUGGCCAAGUUGGAGGAGAGAAAGCCCUCUCAAUCUCUAUUAAGAAAUGCAUUAAAGGACUCUGGUGGCGGAAUAUAUUUUCUCUCCACCACAUUAUCUACUAAAAGACAGGACACAGGCAGCCAUUACAGCCUCCACAAUGAUAACUUUGCAAGGAUAUAUAUGCAUGUACAAGGAACAUAACUAAAAUUGGGAAUGGGUGGAGACCUUCUCACUGGAAACUAGCAUUCUGCUGACAGAACAAGAGUUCUAGAUAGCCACAUCUGAAGACUGUACAAAUCUUGAAAUUCCCUGUGAGCACUAGUUUCAGAGGUUCCUCAGCACUGUAGGCUAUUUGUUCAAAAGCAAAUCAACAAGAAAUUAGGCUUCAAAACAUUCUGUACCAGAGAACAGGCUUACCUGGAGCUUUUCAAUUUCUGUCUUUGCAGCCUGCCUUGCUUUCCCAAUGGCACAUCCCCAGUAACCCUGUAAAAGCAACAGAAGUUAACCAUGACUUUCUGUGAAAUGGAAGGUAGGGUUUUAAGAAAAAGCUUUAACGAAGUAUAGCAUACCAAUAUAGAAAUAUACGAAAGUGAACCAGGAGUUCAGUCAGUGGCUUUUGAAAUCGAAAAGUGGUGGUGGACCUGCACGUUCCUGGUUUGGGACUGGCCUAUUCAUUACCAGAUACCAGUUCUCUCCUUUUGAGCACAUUACAAAUGGGCUGUAUUCCUUCAUGCAGGUUCCUUCUGGCCCUCAAAACACUGCUUGUUCAAAAGGAGUAGACUAAGAAUAUAGUAACUAGGUCAAGAGAGACUAUCAACUGGCCCUUGAUCAGCUUCUUCACAUUGUCACCCAGGAUUUUCAUAGUAAAGACUUACAAUGAGGACAAGGCCACAGUAAACCAGCUUUGUGUUGAUUCCACUUUGAUUUUGUUUGAGGAAAAUGAGGUGGAUGGAGUCACAUACUGAAUCAGAACCACACCUUUCUCAGUCCUUUUUACAAAUACAGUGUGCUUAAAAAUAAUACAGCUGCUUUUAUAAUUUGAUUGGGAGGGGAGAAGUAGGGAUGACAAAUGCAGCUUUUUAAUAACGUGUCAGAAGCGACUUGAGAACAUACUGCAAGUAAUUUCUGGUGUGAGAGAAUUGGCCGUCUACAGAGACGUUGCCCAGGGGACGCUUGGAUGUGUUACUGGGAGGCUUCUCUCAUGUCCCUGCAAGCUAGAUCUGAUAGACGGAAGCUCUGUCUCGUGGAUUCAAACUAGCAACCUUCAGGUCAGCAGGUCACAAGGGUUUAGUCCACUGCACCACAGUGCCUCCUCUAAUACAGCUGUAGCCAUUAAUUACAAUGAAGCCAAUGUUUCCAACCAGUGCAGCUGAAGGAGAGCUUAUUUCUUGGGGGGCAAGAGGUGGAAUCUCUGGAUUUCCCUGCACAGUGGUUGCAAAUUGGGAGUGUAAGCUGCUAACUUCCAUGAUAAAUAAAUCUAAAUUUAUCUACUAACAGAAUCUUAAGUCUUCUGCUUUUGCUGGUAGUGUGUUUCAACUUCUGCCAUCUUGCUCCAAUCCUGCAGCACACUCAGCUUCCAUAUAUGCCUCAUUUUCCAACACUCCAUAGUUUCAAAUAGAAAUGUUGAUCUUUUCUAUUACACAUGUAUAGUACCUUGCAACUGCUGUGGCUAUAUCCCAUCAAGCCUCUUUAGCACAGAACUGUAAAUGCCUCACGAGAACAUCAACUGCUUCCUCCCUGGAGUCAUAUUUCCCUUUGAAAUGAGACCCUGCCUUUUUGGAAACAUUACUCAACAAGACUAAGCAACUAGUAUAAAUUUCAUCUUGACAAAAACGUCAUGAUUACCAUUGUCAGCUACAACAAAAGCGAAGUAAUUCUAUAAUAAUCUUAAACAUGAUCUGGAAUAAUAGAAAUUGGAUAAACUGAUAUGUUUCUUUAAACUCAACACAAUGUUUUCUAAAGAACUGGAAGCUUUGUGUAGAAUAGAAAAGUAGGAUAUUUAAAGAUUGGUCAAUAACCAUUGUUUAUUGACUAAAACCAUUGAUAGAACAAUGUUAACACAAACAUUUGACAACAACAUUGUUUACUAUCAUUUCCCCCUCUUUUUCUUAUGAUACACUGUUGAUUAAGAGCACUGAUAAUAAAACAUGUUAUAUGGUAUUAUCCUGAGGUUAAAGUCAGAGCGUUUUUCCAAAAUUUUAUAGUUUAGUAUUACUAGAUUUACAAACACUAACACUAGAAUAUUACAUUCCAUAAAGGAAACAGCAUCUGAAGGUCUGGAGAUAAUUGUAGUUUAGUAGUAGUAGACACUAUAGAGAUGCUGGCUUUGGUAGUUUUACAUAUCAUUUUUGUGUUCUAUUUUGCCUUUUUUUGAAUACAGAAUAUAUUUUCAAAAAGCAAAAAAAAUCACAUGUACAUUUAUAAUAACACAGUAAUCUGUAAUUGUGUAUGUACACCUGCCGUCAGGUGUGAGGGUGCAUUUCUCAUCAGAAACUUCCCAGUAGUAGAUUAUGCCAUUGUGAAACAUGUGGCUAACUUUUUUUACUAGCUUCCAUACACAUGAAGAAGUUUUGUAGAAGUCUCAAUAUAAAAACAGUAUAAAAAAAACUCACAUAUGAAACACCUGAAGGAUCAAUCAUGUACAACUGAGCACCAUCGUCAUCAUCAUAGGAGCCCAACAUGAAGCUGGAAAGGGCAAGGAAUCUUGUUAGGACAGGACCUGCCAACUAUAGAGAAUUCUGACAAAAGUUUGACCUCAUGCAAAUAAAGAAAUGUCAAAAUAAUUUCUGAUUGUUUCAUUGAAGUCAAACCACAGCCAGCAAUCACCAUAUUUUGUUCUAAAUAUAACCCUUGUUGAGAAUGGCAAGACAGUGAUUUUGUAAGUGACAAUGCACCAUAACGUUCAGUUAAGGCAGGCACCUAUUUCAACUAGACAAUUUGUUUAAGAGUUCUGCUACACUUGUGUUAUGGAUCGAAAAUUUAAGCUUUUAGUGUAUUUAAAAUUACAAAGGAAGGAAUCAAAAAGUCUAGGGUAUUGUUGUUCCAAAUACAAAUCCAGGAAUGAAAAGGAACGUGCUGAAGGAUUUUGAGGGUGUCCGUCUUCAAAAUACUGUAUAUACAUAUGCACACCCUUCUUGAGUCAAAUAACUUCUAGAGUUGCAGCCUAAGGGCAACAAAGCUGUAUACUUAUCCUGUGCUCAGUAGCAAACUGGAAACACUGAAUUGCUGAGGGGGAUUUGGAUAUUACUUGUGACAUGACUCAAAUAUCAUUCUGUUCAACUCAGAGGAAAUACGUCUUUGAAACAAGUCAUUUAUUCACCUUGAAGAAAGCUCUCCAUAAAAACAUGACUGGCAGGAUAUUGUCUGUAGCAAUUUUUCUGCCAUUCCCUCAUCUGAGGGUUAAACUUCACCCCAGGUGUACUUCUGGUGCUACCGUCCUUUCCUUUUCACCUAAACACUCAUGGGUUCUUUUAACCUGGUAUUUUAUAUACAACUGCUUAUUGUUUUAGGAAGUUAUUAUAUGCCUUGAACCAUUGCUCACAGGAUGUUAAUAAUUGGGAUAGAUUGAAUAGAAGUUCCUACCUGCAGCCAAAAGGUCUGACAGCACUGUAUAGUGUGUAGGCGUGUACAUACAUAGCCACUCUGUCUGCAAGAUGCUAUGGGGGAAGAGAGGAUGAAUUUUAGACUGUGGAAAAUAAUCAUUUCUUCAUUUAAAUCAAAACAUUUUUGUCGAAGAAGCAACGGUAACCUGUAGCCAUGUUUCCAUAUCACACUAAGCCAUGGUUCAUCAUUAUUUAUCCAACUAGGAACAAGUGAGCCUCAUGCUUGCUCUUUCUUUCUGCCUCAAAUGCAAACAAGGAGGAUUUCAGAGGUUCUUAGUUGACUGCUUUACUGUGCUGCCAAGAAUGACAGGCAACAUUUAAUCCCAAUUCCUGUAUGGUUAAUUUAAAAUAAGGAAUUUCAGACCAUAGUAUAUGAAGCAGGUUUGCUUGAAUUAGCCACAGUUAGUAUUAACCACAACUCCAGUUCUGAACUACUGAGACAACUGGCUAACUGAAAGUGGAAGUGAAUUUCCCAAAUAUUACACAGACCAAUCAACCAAAAAAAUGUUCCCCGUGUCUUGGUUUUUAGGCCUAUUCUUGAGGUUACUUUGGGUGCUGAUUCAGAAAAUUGCAUUGGAUAGACUGCAUCAGCACUAGUUUCUUCGAUAUGGUUAUCAUCAUUCUCUAUGGGCUAGCUGCUAUCAGAUGAAUAUGACAUGUGUUCUGUAUCUCCAAAACUAAAGCCGAUAUGUGAAAACUGGUGCCAUUUUUGGAAUCAGCAGGUCAACGUGGUCUAACAUUUGAGACACCAAAAUGUGUGUUGGCCAGUGAUAUUUUUUGCUGAAGGAAAUGGAAGGUGGAACCAUUCAAGAUAAGUUUAGCACUAUGUCCCAACAUGGCCUUUGUGUUUCAGGAGCUAUAUAAACAGCACAAAUUUAACUUACUUUCAGUGGAAUAUUGUAACCAUAGUUGGAUCUGAAGUUGGAAGCUUCUUCCCUUGCUAUGUCAGCCAAAGACCGAGCAUCAGCCAGAAGUCCUGCUACGGCCUGAAAAAAGGACCAUCAUCUCAAAAUAAAUUCAAGUCUGGAAUUUGAAUCUCAACACAUCACCCUCCAAGUCUCAUUCCAGCAUUAUCAUUUACAUCAGGAAUGUAUUUAACAGUCACAUGUUCCCAGAACCGGUCAAACUAGCAUUUCCACUCCCACAAGUUGAGGCCAGAAAUACUUCCUGGUUCCAAACUGAAAGUCACAACUUGCUUAUCCAAGAGGAUUUUUAACAACUGGAUCAUCACUAUUUAAACGUACCAAUGUGCCAAACAAUAAGAACUACAAAAUUCUCAACACUGACUCACCAUUCCAACAUGUCGAUCAACAUUAAAAAGACGUUUAUUGGACCCUUCUUCAUAAAGUUUGGAUAAAACUAGUUUUUCCACUCCAAAGACUACACCAUCUUUACACCGAAUCCCAAGUGCUGUACUGAAAAGAAGUCAGAGCAGAGUAAUCAGCUCAUUGCAUUUACUUUAUAGAACAUGUUCAACUUAAAAAUGCUCUAGAAACUCAAACAUAAAUGUUACAGGACCACUAAGAACAGUAACAAAAGCCAAUUGACAUAUGCUGAUCCCAUGAAUUUUAGGUAAGGAAUACUCAAAGAUAGCUUUGCCAGUUCUAUUCUCUAAAUUACACCUCACUGAAAUCUUAAACAGCAGGUCCACUUAUACAGAAAGGUAGUUUCUACAAUGCACUUUAUUGCUGGCCCAUCUUAUUAGUGACCUUGCAAUAUAUAGCACAUGUAUAAUUUAUUGCCAUGCCUCCAAUUUUUGAACAUGCCCACUGUGCCUGGCUAUUGCUUAUUGGUUAUCAGUUGCUGUUGAGUUUCUUCUUUUAUUAUUUUUAUAUGUUUUUAUGUAUCAGUUAAUUGUAACUGAAUGUAUCUUAUGUUGUUGUAUUUUAUUGUUGCAUUACUGGGCUUGGUCCCCAUGUAAGCCGCCCCGAGUCCCUUCAGGGAGAUGGGGCAGGAUAUAAGAAUAAAGUUGUUAUCAUCAUUAUUGUUGUUGUUAUGAUUAAUCAACAGGGGUGUGCAAAUCCAUCCUAUUUUUGUCCUAGUUUCGUUUUGAAUUUUGGAUGGCCCCCAUUCUAUUUUCAGGAAGAUUCCCAGAGAUUUGAAUUUGAAAUUUGGAACCCUGAGUUCAGUUACUGUUUCUGGAAGGAUCUCCCCAAAACACAGGAUGAAAACAGAUCGGAACUCUGUGCCAUUUUGCACACCCCUAUCAAUUAAUAUAUCUGUCGCUAUAAUCAAAGGAAACAUUGCAAAAACUAACAACAAAUGAAACAUGAUGUUCUAAAUAUUUGAUAUAAUUGUUAUUUACAAUAUUUUUAUAAAGGUUUCUAAUGUCAUGAAAAUAACCAACUAUUAACUUUUUGCAAUUUUUAAUGGAAUUAUACAUAAUUCGAUUGAAAGCAUUCCCAGCCUGAGGAUUUUGGACUCUGCUUCACUGUUAUGAAUCAAGUAAGACUAGUUUCAAUUUUGAAAUAGAAUAAAUGAAGUUACACUUGGUAGACACUCAUCCCUAAGACAUACACAUGGUACAAGAGCCCCGGAUGGCUCAGUGGAUUAAACCAAUGAGCUGCUGAACUUGCUGACCUAAAGGUUGGCGGUUCAAAUCCAGGGAGCAGAGUGAGCUCCCACUGUUAGCCCCAGCUUCUGCCAACCUAGCAGUUCAAAAACAUGCAAAUUUGAGUAGAUCAAUAGGUACUGCUCUGGCGGGAAGGUAACGGCACUCCAUGCAGUCAUGCCGGUCACGUGACUUUGGAGGGUCUAUGGACAACGCUGGCUCUUCGGCUUAGAAAUGGAGAUGAGCACCAACCCCCAGAGUUGGACAUGACUAGACUUAAUGUCAGGGGAAAACCUUUACCUUUACAGGCAGUCCCUGAGUUACCAACAUCCAUUGAAGUUUUAUUUCCUAUCCAUGUUUCCGCUGGAAGCCAAUUUUUUCACAACCCAAUUACCACAGGGACAGAAAGUAAAGUGAAAUCUUCUGAACAGGGGCACAGACAGCAAAACAAACACUACCCUUCCCUAUGUUAUCAAAAGCUAAAAAUAAAUAAAUCUAUGACUGGUGUUACACCUUUAAAAAGUGCCUGUUCCAACCUACAUACAAAUUCAACUUAAGAACAAACCGACAGAAUCAAUCUUGUUUGUAACAGGGCCUUCCUGGAUGCAGAUAGGGAUACUAAUUCUAUGCCAGCAUAUUUGUAAGUAAGAUUUUCAAAUUGUGAACCCUCUGGAUUCACAAUUUCCACCAGCCACAGAUCAUUAUGUCCUAUACAAAAAAAUGGCAGGAACAUGAACACAUAUCUACUGAAGCACCUGGAUGCAUGUCACCACCAUUUAAUAACAACCACCCAGAACCAAACCUCUGUGGAUCCAGGAAACCCACUGUACUUGCAGACAUGUUACAGUUAAAUCAAUGUUGUUUAUUUCUAAUAUCUUGUUUCCAUCAAUGCCUGAAAUUGUGGGAACCUGCCUGAAAUUGUGGGAACCUGCAACCAGGUCAAGGAGAUAAAACUGGGACCAAUAAAGUCAUUGGUGAUCACUCAUGUAUGAGUAGGAUGGUCCUCAAAGUCUUGGCGGUUAGUUUGCAGGCAACUGCGGAGAACUAUUCUCAACCCACUUGUUCUUCCACAGUGAGGACAUCAGUUUCCAGAUGUAAGGCGGUCCCCCAAAAAAAAAUACUAGGUGGCCACAUGAAUUUGUGAUCCUGGUUCUAUUCUCCAGAGAGAAAAUACUUCCUAGUGAAAUAAUCCUCUACUUUAGCAAAUAAUUUUCAAAUGACGAAAAUACAAAAACUUAUCUUACUCUCACCUGCUAUUUUCAACAGCUUUCAUAGCAUAUUCUACUUGAAACACUCUGCCAUCUGGAGAAAAUGUGGAGGCCGACAAAUCAUACUGAGAGGAAGAAAAAAAAAGUAUUUCAAAGAAGAACUGCAGCAAGAGUGUUCAAGAAGAAUAGGGACAAGCUGGAAGGUGUCCAGAGAAAAACAACUAAAACCAUCAAAGGUCUGGAAGCCCUAUGGGAAGUAGCUGAAGACCUGGUGGUGUCGGCAGGUUUUUGAGUAAUUAUAUUGGACUACCGCCGUUUUCUGAGCCUGAAUAUAUUGCACAACAUUUCCCUAGCCUAAAAUGAUACAUUUUAAUAUAUUGGUUUUAUGGUUCCCGUCCCCUUGAUCUGGUCAUGUAAGUGUGAUUUACAGUAGAGUCUCACUUAUCCAAGCUAAACGGGCCGGCAGAAGCUUGGAUAAGCGAAUAACUUGGAUAAUAAGGAGAGAUUAAGGAAAAGCCUAUUAAACAUCAAAUUAGGUUAUCAUUUUACAAAUGAAGCACCAAAACUUCAUGUUAUACAACAAAUUUGACAGAAAAAGUAGUUCAAUACGCAGUAACGUUAUGUUGUAAUUACUGUAUUUACGAAUUUAGCACCAAAAUAUCACGAUAUAUUGAAAAUAUUGACUACAAAAAUGGCUUGGAUUAUCCAGAGGCUUGGAUAAGCGAGGCUUGGAUAAGUGAGACUCUACUGUAUUGUUAUAAUUGUAUUAUUUUACUUUGUUUAAUAAUGUGUAUUAUGUUGUUAUGUAAUGUUUGUGUUGCUUUUAUGACUGUAAACCGCCCCGAGUCCCAUCCAGGAGAUAGGGCGGUAUAUAAAUAAAGUUUUAUUAUUAUUAUUAUUAUUAUUAUUAUUAUUAUAGCUUGGGGAUCUGGGUAUGUUUAGCCUAAAUGUUUAGCCAUGUAUUGGUUACAUCCCAUUAGGAUUACUACAACAUGAUCUACAUGGAUUGCCUUUGAAAACUGUUCAGAAACUUCAAUUUGUUCAAAGGACACAGCCAGGAUUCUAAUUGGAGAUGGAAUUGUCAGCUGAGGGGACAGCUGAAGGCUGAGAGGGGACAUGACAGCUUUAUGGUUUGGUUCCUGCCUAUUUACUUGGCCACAUGUCUCCUUAUGAACCUGUCUGGGCCCUAAGAUCAGCCAGGAGGCCCUCCUCUCGAUCCUAUCUCCCUCAUAAGUGAGGCUGGUGGUGAAGAGGGAGAGGGCCUUCUCGGUAGUAGCCUCCUGAUUCUGGAAUGCCUUCAAAAGGAAAGUAGACAAGCACCCACUCUCAUAACUUUCAGGAAGGAGUUGAAAACCUGGCUAUUUAAGCAGACUUUUGAUAAUGGUAAAGAAUAUCAACCACCUCAUCUGACAGAACUUUAAAUGGUUAUUAGAGCUAUAAUUUGUAAUGCUGGAUACUCUGAUUAUAGGAAUUGCCUGGUUUCAAAUGGCGUUUAGAUAUAUACUGUUUUUAGAGAACUAAAUGAUGGGUUGUGGUAGUACAGUGGGUUAAACAACUAGCUGCAGGAAAUCUGUCAACCGGAGGGUCAGCAGUUCAAAGCCACAGAUCAGAGUGAGCUCCUAACUGUCAGCCCUAGCUUGUUAAGUUAGCAGUUCGAAAGCAUGCAAUGAAUCAUAGAUUCAUAGAGUUGGAAGGAACCUCAUGGGACAUCCAGUCCAACCCACUACCAAGAAGCAGGAAAAUCACAUUCAAAGCACUCCCGACAGAUGGCCAUCCAGUCUCUGCUUAAAAGCCUCCAAGGAAGGAUCCUCCACUACACUCUGGAGCAGAGUUCCAGAUUGUGAAAGUAGAUCAAUACAAGUAGAUCAAUAGGUACAUCAAUGCAAGUAAAUCAAUAGGUACUGCCUCAGCGGGAAGGUAAAAGGGUGCCCCAUGCAGAUAUGCAAAAUGUGGCGGCAACACGGGAGAUGCCUACAAUAACUGGCUCCUCAGCAUGAAAAAAUGGAACAAGAGCACAUCCCCAUGGCUGGAGUUGAGCAUAGCAUCCAGAUGCGGGAGAUGGAAGAAAAAAAAGGAAGACCUUUACCUUAUCUAUUAUAUGCCAUUGUGUAAAAGGCAUUAAAUGUUUGCCUUGUAUGUGUUUCUGUAAUCUGCUCAGUCCCUUCAGGGAGAUAAAGCGGAACAUAAAGUGUAUUAUUAUUAUUAUUAUUAAUAGUAUUUUAUUUAUUUAUUUGCUACAUUUAUAUGCUACAUUUAUAUUUAUAGUAUUUUGAACUGUUUAUUUAUGUCUAUGCUAUGAUGCUAUUUUGCUUUUAUUAAGAAAUGAUUAUUGUUUGUUAUAUCAUUUACUGUAUUUGUUAGUUUUGCUGUAAGCUGCCCAAAGUCCCUUUGGGGAGAAGGGGCGGGAUAUAAAUAAAGCUUAUUCUUAGUAUUA